GUCUGGUUGAGGGUCAA
rnacentral:rRNA from 1 species